CUCAGGAUGAACGCUGGCGGCAUGCCUAAUACAUGCAAGUCGAACGAGAGGAAGGAAAGCUUGCUUUCCUGAAUCUAGUGGCGAACGGGUGAGUAACACGUAGGUAACCUGCCCAUGUGCCCGGGAUAACUUCUGGAAACGGAUGCUAAAACCGCAUGAUUUUGUUAUUAAAGGUUAAAAACACUGGUGGAUGGGCUUACGGUGCAUUAGCUUGUUGGUGAGGUAACGGCCCACCAAGGCGAUGAUGCAUAGCUGGUCUGAGAGGAUGAACAGCCACAUUGGGACUGAGACACGGCCCAGACUCCUACGGGAGGCAGCAGUAGGGAAUUUUCGGCAAUGGGGGAAACCCUGACCGAGCAACGCCGCGUGAGUGAAGAAGGUCUUCGGAUUGUAAAGCUCUGUUGUAAGGGAAGAAAUGUACUGUGAGAAACAGUACUUGACGGUACCUUACCAGAAAGCUACGGCUAACUACGUG
rnacentral:rRNA from 1 species